UUGAACGCUGGCGGAAUGCUUUACACAUGCAAGUCGAGCGGCAGCGCGGGGCAACCUGGCGGCGAGCGGCGAACGGGUGAGUAACAUAUCGGAACGUACCCUAUCGUGGGGGAUAACACAUCGAAAGAUGUGCUAAUACCGCAUACGACCUGAGGGUGAAAGCGGGGGAUCGCAAGACCUCGCGCGACAGGAGCGGCCGAUAUCGGAUUAGCUAGUUGGUGAGGUAAAGGCUCACCAAGGCGACGACCCGUAGCUGGUCUGAGAGGACGACCAGCCACACUGGAACUGAGACACGGUCCAGACUCCUACGGGAGGCAGCAGUGGGGAAUUUUGGACAAUGGGGGCAACCCUGAUCCAGCCAUUCCGCGUGAGUGGGGAAGGCCUUCGGGUUGUAAAGCUCUUUCGGACGGAAAGAAACGGUCACGGCCAAUACCCGUGGCUAAUGACGGUACCGUCAGAAGAAGCACCGGCUAACUACGU
rnacentral:rRNA from 1 species